rnacentral:rRNA from 1 species
CAGUCGCCGCGGUAAUACAGAGGGUGCAAGCGUUAAUCGGAAUUACUGGGCGUAAAGCGCGCGUAGGUGGUUUGUUAAGUUGGAUGUGAAAUCCUUGGGCUCAACCUGGGAACUGCAUCCAAAACUGGCAAGCUAGAGUAUGGUAGAGGGUGGUGGAAUUUCCUGUGUAGCGGUGAAAUGCGUAGAUAUAGGAAGGAACACCAGUGGCGAAGGCGACCACCUGGACUGAUACUGACACUGAGGUGCGAAAGCGUGGGGAGCAAACAGGAUUAGAUACCCGUGUAGUCCCUGUCUCUUAUAC